GCGCAUUAGCGGACGCUGGCUACGGGUGGCCGGGCGGGAUGUAACCGGCUGCUGAGCUGGCAGUUCUGUGUCCCCAGGCUUCGGCCCGGCCGCCGCCGCACAUAAACUGCGAGGAGGAGCUUUACGACUUCUCGGUCUUCGGGGCCGGGCGCAGCAAGGGCCAGACUCUGCGCUAGCAGGCGCUGCGCGCCAACCGGCCGGCCCCUGUCGCAGAAGGUGCAACCGAUCGCACUGUCGCGCAGAAGCUCCUCAAUGGCCAGCGCCAGCUGCAGCCCCGGCUGCCCACUCGCCUCACCUGAGCCUGGGUGGAACAAUCCAAAGUUUUAAUCAAAGAAGGUGGUAUUCAGUUGCUGCUUACAAUAGUUGAUACCCCAGGAUUUGGAGAUGCAGUGGAUAAUAGUAAUUGCUGGCAGCCUGUUAUCAAUUACAUUGAUAGUAAAUUUGAGGACUACCUAAAUGCAGAAUCGCAAGUGAACAGAUGUCAGAUGCCUGGUAACAGGGUGCACUGUUGUUUAUACUUCAUUGCUCCUUCAGGACAUGGACCGUUACAUAACUGAAGACUCCCACCUUCAGGCAGGAUUGGGUAGUACAUGUUUGUAACUACCUGGCAUUGCCUUUUGUUGAGACUUAAACCAUUGGAUAUUGAGUUUACAAAGCAUUUGCAUGAAAAAGUGAAUAUCAUCCCACUUAUUGCCAAAGCAGACACACUCAUGCCAGAGGAAUGCCAACAGUUUAAAAAACAGGUGAGCAGGAUGUGUUAACUCAGGUUUCUUAUACCAUUCUCAUAAUUUGCAGGUUUUACUAUUUUUAGUAUAAUGUGUUGCAAUCCAUUCCUCUUACUGCUUUACUGUAUUGUCAUUUAUACUGUAUUAAAAAUAACUCUUGAAUCUUCUGCCUUAGUUUUCCCCUCAAAGCUCUUACCCAUUGUCAUAGUAUCCUUAUCCUUUGUCAGUUUUUAAAUAUGGCUGUUUUAAGUUUUGUUUUUUUUUUGAGGCAGAGUCUCGCUGUGUUGCCCAGGUUGGAGUGCAGUGGCAUGAUCUCGGUUCACUGCAAGCUCUGCCUUCUGGGUUCACGCCAUUCUCCUGCCUCAGCCUCCCGAGUAGCCUGGAACUACAGGCACCCACUACCAUGCCUGACUAAUUUUUUGUAUUUUUAGUAGAGACAGGGUUUCACUGUGUUAGCCAGGAUGGUCUCGAUCUCCUGACCUCGUGAUCCACCUGCCUCGGCCUCCCAAAGUGCUGGGAUUACAGGUGUGAGCCACCACACCCAGCCUUAAGUGUUCUUUAAUAACACCUCCACACAGAUAAUUUUGACCCAUACUCUUUAGAAUUAUUUUCUUAGAAUGAAUUCCCAGGAAGAGGAUUAUUCUUUCAAAGGCUAUGAUUGUUUUUAUGGGUCUUUAUCUUCCCCACUCCCCAUUUUGUCAUGGUGCUUUCCCAAUAAAACAAAUUCAUUUUA
rnacentral:lncRNA from 1 species